rnacentral:lncRNA from 1 species
UCGCAGCCCCCCGCUGCCCCCCAGCCCCCCCGGGGGCAGCUCCGCGCUCCGUCCCGGGACAAACCCGGCCACAGGGGCUCGUCCCCCCCCGGGACAAGGUCACCGAGCGGCGGCAGCGCAUCCCUAGCGGGCUGCCCGCGGGGAGCAGGGGGGGACACAGGCAGCGCGGGGCACCCCACCGCCCUGCCUCAGCAUCCCGAUAAUCGCGACAUCAUCCCCCUCCCGAGCUCCGGCCGCCCCCCGGGGAUGCUCCGCGCUCCCGAGGGCUUACCCCAGGCUCCGGGGGUUCUCCGUCCCGUCCUGCCCCGUCCCCUCCUGCUCCGUCUCAGCCCCCCCGGGCCCGGCCCCGCCGCCCCAUGGCGCGGAGCCCCCCGGCGGGCAGCGGCCACCCGGGUCCCGCCGCGCUCCGCGGCCGCCGCCGCCGCCUCCACGCUCGCCCUCGGCCGCCCCCUGAUAUAUGCACGGGCCGCAGCCAAUCAGCGGCGCCGCCUGCCUCCCCGCGCCCUCCCAUUGGUGCUCCCGCGGCCGCUCGCCUCGUGGGGGCGCGGGGGGCGCGGACACGCGUGGGGGGCGCGGGGCGGCGGCGGCGGCAGCAGGGAGAGCGCGGAGCCGGCAGUGCCCGGGGGGAGCCCCAGCAGGCGGCAGCCCCCUCGCCUCCAGCCCGCUGGCUGCGUGUCCCCUGAAAGGGGAGGGGGUCCCCCAAAAGGGGGGGUCCCCCAAAAGGCGGGGGGUCCCCCCGCGAAAAGGGUUUCCCCCGGGAAAGGGCUCCCACGCAGCCCCGCGCUCCUCCUGCGUCCCACGGCCGGGUAUUGCAGAGCUGUGUUUGGGGACGGGGUGGGUGGGGUUUGGGGGGAGCGGGCCCGGCGUGGGGGGCUCCCUCACGUCGUUUCCCACGGGCAGUUCCUCCACUCGUGCCAUUUCCCACGGUCAUUUUCUCUGCUUGUGCCCUUUCCCAUGGUCUAUCCCUCCACUCGUGUCAUUUCCCAGGGCCAGUUCUUCUGCUCGGGUCCUUUCCCACGGCCAAUUCCUCCACUUGUGUCUUUUGGGUCCCUCUGCCCGUGCCCCCUGCCACGCGUUAUUUUCCUCCCACGGCAGGGGGAUGCUCCUGGGCAGCAGCCGGCCCCCCAAGCGGGGACCCUGGGGGUCCCCUCGGCUUCCCGCCGGUUGGGGCAGGGCUUUGGGGUCAGUUUCUGGGCCCCACUGAGCAGAGAGCCGUGGUCAGCCUGCCAGGGGGCUUCUGCCCCCAAAAAGAAGGCCAGGCCUCAUCUUACAAAACACUGCUGUGGGUUUUUACUGUAUUUUUACUGUUUUUUCCCCUUAUCUUCCAUUAUAUAGCCUUUAUAUUGUCUUUGUAUUUUUCCUUAUUAUUUCUUUAUAUUUUUCCUUAUGUUUUCCUCAUAUUUUCCCCUAUAUUAUCCUAUUUUUUUCCAUUUUCUCCCCAUUUAUUAUAUUAAAUAAUAUAAAAUAUUAUAAAAUCCACAUCACUUUUAUUUAUAUU